GAGGGAGGGAGGGAGGAGGGGGAGGAGGAGGAGAGGGCAGGACACCUGCCUCAGGGGGGGAGCAGGCGUGACCCGCGGGCCAUCCCUGGCUUCGAGAGUCGAGAGUGUCACCUUCCGUCUGUCGGAUCGGAACCCGGAUUUACCGCUUUGGAGGGAUGAGAGGCAGGUUGCCUGCCGGGCAGCACUGGCACCGCCGAGGACGCCGAGGCUUCUUCCACCGGCACGCGGCUUCCCGGGAGCUUUAUCGAGGAAUCUAUGUUUGGAUUUGAUUCUAAAUUGAGGAGUUUGGAUUUCAGGACACUGGAAAUCUCCAAGAAAACGUUUCUUUUUUUCUUUUUUUUUGCUGUAGGAUUUACAAUAUGUCCACCUGACCGUACUCCUUGUGGCUCUGGAAAAAAAGGCAAAAAAAAACUGAUUUAAGUAAAUGUGUAUUCCUUGAUAAAAAAAAAAAAAAUACACGAUUACCUCAAAAGUACUUUAGAAUGCUGCUAUCUUCGUUAUAUGAUCCGUGUCCUAGCUCUCAAAGAGAUUGACCAAUGAAGCCAUGGGACUCAGCCAGAGCUUUACAAAUGGGGCCUGCGGUAAAGCCCUGGACCAGCCGGUCGGAGAGUGGCUGGAGCACGUGGGGCUGCCGCAGUACGAGAGCAAGUUCCUGCUCAACGGCUUCGACGACCUGCGGUUCAUGGGAAGUAACGUGAUGGAGGACCAGGAUCUCAGAGACUUUGGGAUCACCGACCCAGGACACAGGAAGAAGAUCCUCCACGCGGCACGCAGCUUGCCCAAGGUUAAAGCGCUGGGCUGUGACGGCAGCACAUCCCUUGUCACCUGGCUGGACGGCCUUGGCCUGCAUGAAUAUCUACCCAACUUCCUGUCAAGUGGCUACCGCACGCUGGAGUGUGUGAAGAACCUGUGGGAGCUGGAGAUCGUCAACGUCAUUAAGAUCGGUGCCCUGGGUCACAGGAAGAGGAUCAUCGCCUCUCUGGCAGAGAGGCCCUACGAAGAGGCUCCGUCAAAGUCCCGCCGUAUGUCCCCGAUUAUGUUCCACGACCUCCUGUCCCAGACCACGUCCCCCCUCAGUCAGAUGGACCCGUACACCAGUCGCUCCAUGGACAUGCUCCUGCCCUCGAGCGAGUCCGACCGGAGGCGGAGAGGAGUUGACCAGGACUGUAGUGUUUCUCUGCGGUCGUAUAGCGAGAGGCCGCGCUCCGUAGACAGAAAGAGCGAACGGCACAAAGACUCCCGAUUAAACCUCCGGCCGCCGAGCACGUCCGCCACGUACGCCACGGUGUCCGCCUGGCACCACCAGCCCGAGAAGCUCAUCCUGGACUCCUGCGGGUACGAGGCAACCUACCUAGGAUCAAUGGUAAUCAGGGAUCUACGAGGAAUCGAGUCCACACAAGAGGCCUGUGCUAAAAUUAGAAAGUCAAAGGAUGCAAGAAAGGGUCCAGUUGUCAUUCUGUCCAUCACCUACAGAGGGGUCAAGUUCAUCGAUGCAGCCACGAAGGCCAUAGUAGCGGAGCAUGAGAUCAGGAACAUCUCCUGCGCCGCCCAGGACCCAGAUGACCUCUGCGCUUUUGCUUACAUCACCAAGGAUCUGAAUAGCGGCCACCACUUCUGCCAUGUGUUCAGUACUGUGGAAGUGACGCAGACCUACGAGAUCAUCCUCACACUGGGACAGGCAUUUGAGGUGGCCUAUCAGAUGGCGAUGCAGGCCAGGGCCAGACACUAUGUCCCGCCCACAUCUCUGAGCCCAGAGGUCAUAGAGACCAAAGCCAGCCGCCCGGUAUCUCAGUCAUGGAGCAGCAUGCGAAGAUCAGCAGUCCUCCUGCCUCCCAGGGAGCCCCUCCGCUCGAAUGCCGCUGCUGUCACUGUCACACGUGUACUACCCACCGUCCCUCCUUCCUCCCGUUGCACUCUGUUAGCCCUGGAGUCCAGAUCGACCCCCUGGAGAUGGACGCAGACAUGCAGUCCCUGGGCGGCAGCACCACCUGGCUCUUGGACCCGCGGGACCCCCACAGGCGCCCCGUCAGCACCAAGUACGAGACCACCAUAUUCUGAGGCCGGACCCCCGCGGGCGCCCCUCAGCACGCCCUCGUGCUCCCCCCUCCCCACCCCCGCAUCCCAUCCUUUACUUAUCUCUCACACACGCACACGUUUAUACAUGCCAGCCCCGUGCCUUCUCACUGUGAUGGUAUAGCCUCCCUCAGGGCGGCCGACUCCCGCACCCCCCAACCCCCUCCUCGCCCCCCUUGCCCCGCCCAGCGACCCACGCCGACCUCGCUGCCCGCCACGACGAGCACUCCUGCGGCCCUCCCGUGCCUACCCGAAACCUCCCCCCACCCCGCCACCGCCCCCCCGCCCCCCCAAGGCCUAUUGUGGCCGCAGCCAACGGCGGAGCCCUGGAGCGGAGCAUCGUGGACUGAUCUCGUUCCAAAAUGGCCUCGCUCUCUCAACCAAACUGCCUCUUCCUCCUCAUCCUCCUCUUCCUCAACUUGCAUCUGCCUCCACAUCCCCGAUAUCUACCAGAGCCUGUCCUGUCUUACCAGGCAUCUUCCACUGUGAGGCCCCAUGAGGAGGCUGCUUUGCUAGCAUGGGAUGCAAGACGGACAAUUAAAUCAAUGAAAGACAAAACGGCAACAUGCAGCCAACAACCCGCGCUUUCCUUUCAAAGCAUUUGUACGAUUCUCAGAACUCCACGACGGAUCGGUCACGAAUCUGCCGCUGAUGUCUGAACUCAAAACGGACCACGGACGAACACACACACACACAAGAGGACAACAGCCUUACGUCAUUUUGGUUAUUUAUAAUCAACUGCAGACCCCCCCCCCACCAACUGCACGUCUCCCCCUGAUUCUAAGAGAAGGAAGACGAAUCUCCCCCCGGUGGGUCACGAUGAUGAUGAGCGAUGACGUCGCUCUUCUGUUCAGUUUCGUCCAUUUGUCCAGAUGAGAGUCGUCGCCCCCCCCCCCCCCUACACACACACACACACACACACACAACCCUUCCCAGCAGUCCCUCAGCCUUCACGGUAGCACCGAGAGACCGCAACUUACUCCUACUUGUCAAUUUAAAAUAUAUAUAUAUAUAAAACACUGUGUUAAAACGUGGCACUAUCCCUUUUAAUACCUUAUUUUCUUUUCUUAUGGUUGGAUAAAUUGGAUAUUAGUGCAUUUUGUGAUACUUUUUGAUAGACUGAUGCACCUGGUUGAAAUGCUUUCGGAGUGAGCGAUUAAGAAGGGGGGGGGGGGGGGCGGUCAAUGAUCAAUGAGUGUACCGACGUCACAUCCACAACAGAUCAUUUGAUUUGCACAUUUCCCCCCACGUAGCAUCUUAUUGUCGCGGUGACACGGGUGGGCAUCCGUGCGGUUUGCACCGUUUUCGAACCAGGCACAGAACAAGCAAGAGGAGCCUCGCCUGAAAAUAAAAACCUCGGUGAAAAGAUGUAAUUCCACGGCGUACGUGAGAGUGAAAUCCGAGCGCUGCCCCGCGUUGUGUUGCUUACGCUGAGAACGUGACGCCGUUCUUAUUUGUGCCCUGUGACUCACAAACGCUGGAGUCGUCACAUAUCUGUCGUCCCCCCCCCCUUCCUCCACCCCCUGUGUGCACCGCUACCUGCUGUGCGUGCUUGUGUGCCCUUGUUGUGUGUGGUCGUGGGAGUUUGGAAGCUGUCACUGUCCUUGUUUGUGCGUGCUGCAGGAGAUGUGCGGCAUCGAGCUCCGGAAGGGGGUCAGGGAGGGGAGGAGAGGAGGGGAGGGGGGGAGGGUCGGGGGCUGUGAAGACGUGACCGGGGCUGUGUGCCGGUACCGUGUCGUUGCCACUGUUGUUUCUGACUGACAGCUUCCCGCUGACGAUGCAUGUUGCCAGCGUUUUCUUCUUUUGUGUUUUCUGUUCCCUUUGCACUCCGUGUCUCGUCUCUCCUCUCACCCAUCCGCCACGCGCUCCUUCUGCCCCCCCCCACUCCCCUCCAUCCUCCUCAUCCUCAUCCCUCCACCCAGCACUUUGUCACGUGUGUUCUUUCCACUUUGUGUGUGUGUGUGUGUCACCAAGGCGAACCUGCUCCAGUAUGGAUGCAUAAUAUAAAAGCAUUACACUUUGAUGAGCGGCAGCUAUUUAAAGCGAGUAUUGGUGGCGUGAUUCAGGCUGUGCAUGUGCCCCCGGUUCUCCUUUUUAACAUUGGUGUUUUCCUUGUGUAGCUCACGCCGGCGUUCAAGUUCCCGGAUACCAAGCUGUGAGUUGAAGGGGAAGCAGCCGAUGCGAGCGCGUUGAGUUUUAGUGGGCAGAGCGAGUGGAAGAGAGGGAGAGAGAGGAAACCAGAGUCACGACUCACCCGUUUAGAUCUCACUCUGUACACCCCGAUCCCGUCCGCCCGGAGAGGUCGGUCAGAGGAGGACGGAGUCAAUGUCGUGACCUCGUCAUGAAGGUACUGUGUUGCUUAGAGCACUGGAGACCGUAAAGGGACGUUUCUAUUGAUUCAGGUUCCGCUGGCGUCAAUAACCGUCAAUGGUGUCGAGGUUAAAUCCAAAAUGUAACAAAGCGUAGAGAACAAAUAAAUAAACUACCAGCAUACAAUGCUUUUGACAGCGCAGGGUUUCUGAAUGAAAAUGUGAUUCUGUUCUAAAUCUCAAAGCAAUAUCAUAUUAAUGAAAAGUUGAAUAAUACAAUGACAAAAGAAUCCCUCUCAAGUCUGUUGUCAGCAUUUUGUUUUAUGGUCAAAGAGUAAAUCACAGGAACAUAACACCAGCUGUAGGGACAAAUAUAACAUGGUAAAUAUAUAUAUAUAUAUAUAUAUAUAUAUAUAUAUAUAUAUAUAUAUAUA